CGCUGUGUUACUUCCUCCACUGCGCCACACACAGCUAUUAUUCUAAGCUCUCUUAUUCAAACCCUUAAGGAUUUGUAAGGAGAACACUAAGAAGAUGGGCAGAAAUCAAAGCUUCCUGGUGUGAGGUUGUGGUAGAAGAUUCCUGGUUGAUCAAUGUAUAGAAGAUGGAAAUGGAUUCCAGUUGUGGGAAGGAAGAAAUCAUUGCUGCAGUCUCAGUCUGCUCUGCAGGAAUAGACCAUCUGAGGACACAGCACGAAGGUGGCCAUCUGCAAUUCAAGGAGAGAAGCCUCGGGAGAAAAUAAACCUGCCGGCACCUUGAUCUUGGACUUUUAGUUUCCAGAGCUGUGAGAAAAUAAAUGUUUGUUGUUUAAG
rnacentral:lncRNA from 10 species